rnacentral:rRNA from 1 species
UACGUAGGGUGCAAGCGUUGUCUGGAAUUAUUGGGCGUAAAGAGCUCGUAGGCGGUUUGUCGCGUCUGCUGUGAAAACCCGAGGCUCAACCUCGGGCCUGCAGUGGGUACGGGCAGACUAGAGUGCGGUAGGGGAGAUUGGAAUUCCUGGUGUAGCGGUGGAAUGCGCAGAUAUCAGGAGGAACACCGAUGGCGAAGGCAGAUCUCUGGGCCGUAACUGACGCUGAGGAGCGAAAGCAUGGGGAGCGAACAGG